ensembl:lncRNA
CUCAACUUGUCAGAAGUCACAACCUCUUUUUCCCUACACUUUGAUGCUAUAGUAACCUUCUUCCUUUCCUCUUUUCCUAUUGGGUAAGGUACAUUGAGCUCACAUUCUUCUUGGUUCAUCUGUCAUGUGCUCAUCCCCCUUGAACAAUUACUCCUCCCCCUUCAUUUCCUUUGUUUAUACAUAGUUUGUAACCUGGAUUCAGAGUUUGUUGUUUUGACCAACUAAAGACAUCACUGUAUUCUGUUUGACAAAGUCCAUUACUCUUUGAUUUGUUAAGCCAACAGAAUUUACAAACAAGUGUUAAUCUAGCAUCUCCUGCCAUAUACCUGCAAGAAAAGUUUAAUUAGUUCUUCUCAGCCUCCAUUUAUCAGACUUACGGUUUUAAAUUCAGACAGGGGAGAUUUAGGUUAGAUAUUAGAAGGAAGCUUUUCACUCAGAGGGUGGUGAUGCAAUGGAACAGGUUGCCCAAGGAGACUGAGGAUGCCCCAUCCCUGGAUGCAUUCAAGGCCAUGCUGGAUGUGGUUCUGUGAAGCCUUAUCUUGUGGUUAGCAGGUCUCCCAUGGCAGGGGGUUUGAAACUAGAUGAUCUUUGAGAUCCUUUUCAACCCACACCAUUUUAUGAUUCUAUGAUUCUUGUUAAUUCAUAGUCUAUCAUUGCUGCCAGCUGGUUGCCAUCCUGCUGUUGCCAACAUGUCUCAGUACUCUUCUUGUCAUACUGACAUGAUGAUUCUCUCUAACACCUCUUCCAUUCUGUCCAAAGGAUACCUCCUCUGUUAAACAAAGAGCACCGGGGGGCGCCAGGUCUUCCUGAUGCUUAUUCAGGCAGGCUUUACUUCCUUGAGCAUGUCAUGACUUUUCUCUGGUUUGAUCAAUCUCUUGGUGAAGAAUAUUCUUGCAGUAUCUAUGAGCAUGCGAAAAAAUAUUACAUGUGUACAUUCAUAUUAUGUAAAUAUAAAUUGUUGCUAGCUAUACAUGUAUAUUGCUAAUUAUUUAACUUCUCCUUAAAUUCUCUGUCACUCAGGUCUUGUCUGUCCAGCACCAGAAAUUAAUAGUCUUCCAACAUAACAAGCCUAUUGGGUUCUUCCAGAUACUGAUGCCUGCAAUAUUCAAACUCCUCACUCUGUCAAAAACUGUGAAGUUUAUUUGCAUACUUCCUUCUAAUGAAAUCAAGAGCUCAGUGCACCGUAAAGGGGUCAGACUGAGGAAGACGUCGAGCCUUCGCGAGGAAGACUUCUGACUUCAUCCCCACAACCACCAGAGGGAGACCCCUAUUAUGGACAGCGCAUGCACUGGGGGAGGGGAAGUAUGUAAAUGAGUUUCUGGAAGAAUACUG